rnacentral:rRNA from 1 species
AUACGAAGGGGGCAAGCGUUGUUCGGAAUAACUGGGCGUAAAGCGCACGUAGGCGGAAUGUUAAGUUAGAGGUGAAAUCCCAGGGCUCAACCCUGGAACGGCCUUUAAUACUGGCAAUCUAUAGACCGAGAGAGGUGAGUGGAAUUCCGAGUGUAGAGGUGAAAUUCGUAGAUAUUCGGAGGAACACCAGUGGCGAAGGCGGCUCACUGGCUCGGUACUGACGCUGAGGUGCGAAAGCGUGGGGAGCAAACAGGAUUAGAAACCCUAGUAGUCC